GGGAAAUAAAUAAUACGGAAUUUAUCGAGAAUCGAAUGAUUAAGCGAUCGAUGGACUAAAUUGGUCGAAAUAAAAGUUAUAAAGUGAAAGUUGAGGAGGUGGCAAAGUGAGGGACUAAAUGAGACCUUUGUCAUAAAUAUAUAUACCCAUUUCAUUUGAUUUAAGAUCAGAAUCAACACAUUUUUGAGUCUCAAAUUCGUUCUCCUUUUUCCUUUGAUGAUCAACAUAUGCAAAGAUUUCAAUCCUCCAUAACUUCCUCGUUUCUCUACGGAAUUGGACGAUUCUUGCGGCCACGGAACGAGGAGAAGGAGAGCUACUGAUCUAGCCCUAUUAUUCAAGUUUAUAAGCUUUCAUGGAAGAUUGUUGAUGGUGAAUUUAAGCCUUGAAGCUUCGGCAUAGGGACAACAUCCAAGACUCGACGAAUCGACUAUCGACAAGGCUCGAGGGGAACGGAUCGAGAUGUCUUCGUGUUUAUUUGAAGAAUUUGGAUAGCAAGUGGGAUAGCAUGAUAUGAUUUGGAAAGUCAAUCUUCCGAAGUUUUAAUUCUCGGAAGUCAUUUGCACAAGAAGUGAAAGAAGGUUUUCAUUCUAGCGGUCCGCAGUAGUCUAGAUGUUUUUGUCUAUGUAUUUGUACAAUGCGUUUUAACUCUGAUGUUUUUGUAAAAUGGGGUCACAUGUAUUUUGAUAUAUAAAAUAUGAUUUGAUUUGCGAAAAAUUUACACAGGUUUUUAGGCUUGCUACGGGUUUCGGAGCUACCACUCCCAUUCCCUAGCGCCGGUCGCGACUCAUAAAUUUGGGUCGUGACAAUUUCCCCAUUUUA